rnacentral:rRNA from 1 species
CGAGUUAUACAACUCAUCAACCCUGUGAACAUACCUAAAACGUUGCCUCGGCGGGAACAGACGGCCCCGUAACACGGGCCGCCCCCGCCAGAGGACCCCCUAACUCUGUUUCUAUAAUGUUUUUUCUGAGUAAACAAGCAAAUAAAUCAAAACUUUCAACAACGGAUCUCUUGGCUCUGGCAUCGAUGAAGAACGCAGCGAAAUGCGAUAAGUAAUGUGAAUUGCAGAAUUCAGUGAAUCAUCGAAUCUUUGAACGCACAUUGCGCCCGCCAGUAUUCUGGCGGGCAUGCCUGUUCGAGCGUCAUUACAACCCUCAGGCCCCCGGGUCUGGCGUUGGGGAUCGGCGGAAGCCCCCUGUGGGCACAACGCCGUCCCCCAAAUACAGUGGCGGUCCCGCCGCAGCUUCCAUUGCGUAGUAGCUAACACCUCGCAACUGGAGAGCGGCGCGGCCACGCCGUAAAACACCCAACUUCUGAAUGUUGACCUCGAAUCAGGUAGGAAUACCCGCUGAACUUAAGCAUAUCAAUAAGC